UCCAGACUCCUACGGGAGGCAGCAGUGGGGAAUAUUGCACAAUGGGGGGAACCCUGAUGCAGCGACGCCGCGUGGGCGAGGAAGUAUUUCGGUGUGUAAAGCCCUAUCGGCAGGGAAGAAGAAAUGACGGUACCUGAAUAAGAAGCACCGGCUAAAUACGUGCCAGCAGCCGCGGUAAUACGUAUGGUGCAAGCGUUAUCCGGAUUUACUGGGCGUAAAGGGAGCGCAGGCGGCGCGCCAAGUCUGAUGUGAAACCCCGGGGCUCAACCCCGGGCAUGCAUUGGAAACUGCGGCGCUGGAGUACGGGAGGGGCAGGCGGAAUUCCUGGUGUAGCGGUGAAAUGCGUAGAUAUCAGGAGGAACACCGGCGGCGAAGGCGGCCUGCUGGACCGUGACUGACGUUGAGGCUCGAGAGCGUGGGGAGCAAACAGGAUUAGAUACCCCCGUAA
rnacentral:rRNA from 1 species